rnacentral:rRNA from 1 species
UUUGAGGCCCCGUAAUUGAAAUGAGUACACUCUAAAUCCUUUAACGAGGAUCAAUUGGAGGGCAAGUCUGGUGCCAGCAGCCGCGGUAAUUCCAGCUCCAAUAGCGUAUACUAAAGCUGCUGCGGUUAAAAAGCUCGUAGUUGGAUCUCAGUUCCAGACGAGUAGUGCAUCUACCCGAUGCGACGGCUCGGACUGAACAUCAUGCCGGUUCUUUCUUGGUGCACUUCAUUGUGUGCCUCGAGAUGGCCGGUGCUUUUACUUUGAAAAAAUUAGAGUGCUCAACGCACGGCGAGUCGCCUGAAUAAAACUUGCAUGGAAUAAUAGAACAAGACCUCGUUUCUGUUCUGUUGGUUUUUGGAAUACGAGGUAACUGAUUAAGAGGGACGGACGGGGGCAUUCGUAUUGCGGCGCUAGAGGUGAAAUUCUUGGACCGUCGCAAGACGAACUACUGCGAAAGCAUUUGCCAAGAAUGUUUUCAUUGAUCAAGAACGAAAGUCAGAGGUUCGAAGGCGAUCAGAUACCGCCCUAGUUCUGACCAUAAACGAUGCCAACCAGCGAUCCGCCUGAGUUACUCAAAUGACUCGGCGGGCAGCUUCCGGGAAACCAAAGUAUUUGGGUUCCGGGGAAGUAUGGUUGCAAAGCUGAAACUUAAAGGAAUUGACGGAAGGGCACCACCAGGAGUGGAGCCUGCGGCUUAAUUUGACUCAACACGGGAAAACUUACCCGGCCCGGACACGUGGGAGGAUUGACAGAUUGAGAGCUCUUUCUUGAUUCGGUGGAUGGUGGUGCAUGGCCGUUCUUAGUUGGUGGAGCGAUUUGUCUGGUUAAUUCCGAUAACGAACGAGACUCUAGCCUAUUAAAUAGGUGCGGGGUUCCCAGCACCUUACAACCUUCUUAGAGGGACAAGCGGCUCCUAGCCGCACGAAACAGAGCAAUAACAGGUCUGUGAUGCCCUUAGAUGUCCGGGGCCGCACGCGCGCUACACUGAAGGAAGCAGCGUGUCUUUAUCCCUGUCUGAAAAGACUGGGUAACCCGUGGAACUUCUUUCGUGAUUGGGAUAGGGGCUUGCAAUUGUUCCCCUUGAACGAGGAAUUCCCAGUAAGCGCGAGUCAUAAGCUCGCGUUGAUUACGUCCCUGCCCUUUGUACAC